GGCUCAUUAUAUAAGUUAUCGUUUAUUUGAUAGUACCUUACUACUUGGAUAACCGUGGUAAUUCUAGAGCUAAUACAUGCUAAAAAUCCCGACUUCGGAAGGGAUGUAUUUAUUAGAUUAAAAACCAAUGCCCUCCGGGGCUCACUGGUGAUUCAUGAUAACUCCUCGAAUCGCAUGGCCUUGCGCCGGCGAUGGUUCAUUCAAAUUUCUUCCCUAUCAACUUUCRAUGUUUGGGUAUUGGCCAAACAUGGUUGCAACGGGUAACGGAGGGUUAGGGCUCGACCCCGGAGAAGGARCCUGAGAAACGGSUACUACAUCCAAGGAAGGCAGCAGGCGCGCAARUUACCCAAUCCCGACUCGGGGAGGUARUGACAAUAAAUACUGAUACAGGGCUCUUUUGGGUCUUGUAAUUGGAAUGAGUACAAUUUAAAUCCCUUAACGAGGAACAAUUGGAGGGCAAGUCUGGUGCCAGCAGCCGCGGUAAUUCCAGCUCCAAUAGCGUAUAUUAAAGUUGUUGUGGUUAAAAAGCUCGUAGUUGAACCUUGGGCCUGGCUGGCCGGUCCGCCUCACCGCGUGUACUGGUCCGGCCGGGCCUKUCCCUCUGUGGAACCCCAUGCCCUUCACUGGGUGUGGCGGGGAAACAGGACUUUUACUGUGAAAAAAAUUAGAGUGCUCCAGGCASGCCUAUGCUCGAAUACAUUAKCAUGGAAKAAUAGAAUAGGACGUGUGGUUCUAUUUUGUUGGUUUCUASGACCGCCGUAAUGAUUAAU
rnacentral:rRNA from 1 species